rnacentral:rRNA from 1 species
UGCAAGUCGACGAUGAAGCCCUUCGGGGUGGAUUAGUGGCGAACGGGUGAGUAACACGUGGGCAAUCUGCCCUGCACUCUGGGACAAGCCCUGGAAACGGGGUCUAAUACCGGAUGAUAUCCCCUCUCGCAUGGGAGGGGGUUGAAAGCUCCGGCGGUGCAGGAUGAGCCCGCGGCCUAUCAGCUAGUUGGUGAGGUAGAAGCUCACCAAGGCGACGACGGGUAGCCGGCCUGAGAGGGCGACCGGCCACACUGGGACUGAGACACGGCCCAGACUCCUACGGGAGGCAGCAGUGGGGAAUAUUGCACAAUGGGCGAAAGCCUGAUGCAGCGACGCCGCGUGAGGGAUGACGGCCUUCGGGUUGUAAACCUCUUUCAGCAGGGAAGAAGCGAAAGUGACGGUACCUGCAGAAGAAGCGCCGGCUAACUACGUGCCAGCAGCCGCGGUAAUACGUAGGGCGCAAGCGUUGUCCGGAAUUAUUGGGCGUAAAGAGCUCGUAGGCGGCUUGUCACGUCGGUUGUGAAAGCCCGGGGCUUAACCCCGGGUCUGCAGUCGAUACGGGCAGGCUAGAGUGUGGUAGGGGAGAUCGGAAUUCCUGGUGUAGCGGUGAAAUGCGCAGAUAUCAGGAGGAACACCGGUGGCGAAGGCGGAUCUCUGGGCCAUUACUGACGCUGAGGAGCGAAAGCGU